UCGGGAAUUUUGGGCAAUGGGCGAAAGCCUGACCCAGCAACGCCGCGUGAAGGAUGAAGUAUUUCGGUAUGUAAACUUCGUAAGAAUAGGAAGAAUAAAUGACGGUACUAUUUGUAAGGUCCGGCUAACUACGUGCCAGCAGCCGCGGUAAUACGAAGGGAGCUAGCGUUGUUCGGAAUCACUGGGCGUAAAGCGCACGUAGGCGGAUAGUUAAGUCAGGGGUGAAAUCCUGGGGCUCAACCCCAGAACUGCCUUUGAUACUGGCUGUCUCGAGGUCGAGAGAGGUUGGUGGAAUUCCUAGUGUAGAGGUGAAAUUCGUAGAUAUUAGGAAGAACACCAGUGGCGAAGGCGGCCAACUGGCUCGAUACUGACGCUGAGGCGCGAAAGCUAGGGUAGCAAACGGGAUUAGAUACCCAUGUAGUCCCUGAGCGGGCUGGCAAGGCGCAU
rnacentral:rRNA from 1 species